ACAAAACAUAUAGAGUGUAAACUUAGCUUAAGUAUUUUUUUAUAUAGCAAUACAUUUUGUAGUUGCCUUAAAAUUUGUAUCUGGCAACUCUCUCUCUUCCUUCUCGAUCCGAACUAACCGGCACGUCCCGCGAUCACUUUGUAAUUUUAUUUAAUUCACAACUUCAAUAAAAGUUCAUUAAAACAUAAAAGCGCAUUUUGUAUUCUCCAUGCGCAAGUGGUCCUUCGAGGGAAAAGCAUCAGUGUCCGAUGUUUCGUCGAAAUAGUGUUCGCGGCAAGUGCGUGCGCGAGCUGGCUGGCCGUCUAUACCGGCUGGUAUCUCGUCGUGGCAGUGCCUAGGCUGGCGCUGCUGGCCUGCAACUUCGUUCUAUCUAUCAUAGAACGAAAAUCAUACACGGAUUGGAGAAAGAAGCGGCGACCUCAUCAAAAACCGCAAGUAAUUCGGUAUAAGUCGAAUUUUUCGACCACCGGCAUUCUUCAUUUUUCAAUAUAGAGUGAAGUUGGCGCGAUCCGCAGCCAUCUUGCGGAACUUCGCAGCGGUUUUUGACAUUUUGUGUCAUCUGUCACGUUUGACAUUGACGUUUAUUAAAAAUCAAAACAAAGUGCUAUCAACGUCUCUGUGCCUUCGUUUAAAAGUGUUUGUGCCUUCGUUCGUCGUAAAUAAAUAUUAAAAUGUCUACCGAAAUGGAGAAAUUAAAAAAAUUACGUGUUAUACGCUCACAGUGCAAAGGAACCAUUACAAGAAUCGACAAUUUUGUCAAGGAUCCCGUAUGUUUGGCAGCCGCCAGCGCCGAUAUAUUGGAGGCGCGUAAAGAGAAGCUCAUUUCCACCUUAAAAGAUUACGAAAAGGUGCAAAUGGACAUCCUAAGUAUUGAUGAAGGCGACGGUGAACAGGUGGGGGAUAUUGAAGAGAAAUACUAUUCCAUAUUAGCAAAAAUAAAUAGCUCUCUUAAAAUGUUAAACACAAAAGUGACUUCGGAGUGCCACAACGCAUCCACAUGUAAGUUACCCACAAUUGAAAUACCCUUUUACGACGGAAAGGAUUUCACUAAAUUUAAACCCUUUUUCGACUUAUUUACUGCUGUCAUUGAUCAGAAUAGCUCGCUGUCUGAUGUGCAAAAGCUUUUUUAUUUGAGAAAGUACCUACAGGACGAUGCGUUGGCGGUUAUUCUGAACUUGCCGUUGGUAAAUGAGUCAUAUAAAGAAGCAAUACAAUUAUUAAAAAAGAGAUUUGACAACAAGGCUAGAUUAGUUGCAAAUCAUAUAGGUAUAUUGUUAGAUAUUUCUAAUAUACAAAAGGGCACAGCGGCUUCUAUACGAACAUUUGUUUCACAAAUAAAUCAACAGAUGCAUGCAUUAAAAAAUUUAGAUGAACCCGUUGAUAAAUGGGACAUGCUUUUAAUAUCAAUUUUGACUCGAAAGUUAGAUCAAUUCACACACCGGGCAUACCAAUUAGACCGGGACUCUGACACCAUGCCUACGAUGGCUGGUUUCAUUGAAUAUUUAGAAAAGCGUGCUAUAGCACUCGAAGAUAGUCAUCAAAAUAAACAUAGUACCUACUAUGAUGGUGCUAACAAACAUCUUAAUAAUAAGAGUACUUGCUAUGAAGGUACUCACAAAUCAAUACCUAAGGUUACAAAUGUGGUAUCGAAGUCGUUGCCGCCCUGUAGGUAUUGUGAAAAUAAAGACCAUCAGAUAUAUAACUGUCCCAUAUUUAAAAUUUUACCUAUUGCUCAGAGGCAAUCCUAUGUAAAUGAAAAACACAUGUGUAAUGUAUGCCUCAAUAACCAUGAUGGGAAAUGUAAAUUUACUUUUAAAUGUAAAAUGUGUAAACAGGGCCACAACACAUUGCUGCAUCAGGAGCGCAAUGUGAAUGUGGACAAGCCCAGGACAAAUAAUGAUGACAGUCAACAGCCACUAUCAUCUGAUGCUGGGCUGCAUAAAAACUGAAAAUGGACCGGUAUUCCAGAAUACCAUGUUAGGAUAUAUUGUCGGAGGAAGUAUCCCCGAGCAAGGACACCACUGCGUGUUCAAUCCGUCGAGUCGAACCUCACCUCAUCGUGUGGUCUUUGAUGGAUCGAUGAGAUCUAGAAACGGGACAUCGCUGAAUCAAGUCAUGCUGAACGGACCUGUUGUACAGAGUGAGCUCUUUGAUAUCCUUAUUUUAUUCAGGACUUAUCCCUUUAUUUUAACUUGUGACAUUCAAAAAAUGUUUCGCAAUGUUUUUAUAAAUGAACAUCAACGCGGACUUCAAAACAUUUUAUGGCGCGACUCGCCCAAAGACCCUAUCAACUGCUUGCAGCUUCAAACUGUUACAUACGGUUUAAAGUCGAGUACAUUUUUAGCUACAAGAGCUCUAAAUGAGCUAGCUAAUAUGCAUAAGGAUCAAUUUCCUUUGGCCGCUCAGGCUAUUUAUAAAAAUACAUUUGUUGAUGAUGUGCUGACUGGCGCUGAUGAUGUAGAGACACUUCAAGAGCUGAAAAGGCAGAUUGUAGAGCUUCUGAAGUUAGGUAGUUUCUCGUUACAUAAAUGGUGCUCGAACCACGCUCCAGUUUUAAGCGAUAUACCAGUUGAGCACAGACAAAUUGAUAGUAUAGAGAUAGGUCAAAAUGACACCGUGAAGACAUUAGGUCUCACGCUCGAAAUAAAUUCAGAUAAAUUGAGUUUCUCUUGCCCUGAAAUUGAUGAGGCAACAAUACUGAAUACAAAAAGAAAAAUUCUCAGCUUUAUUGGGAAAAUGUUUGACCCACUUGGUUUAAUUGGCCCAGUAAUAGUGGUGGCCAAACUAUUCAUGCAAGAACUCCAUAGCUCUAUGCGGAAAGAUUGGGACUCUACAAUCCCAAGUGAAAAGUUCCUAUACUGGUCAAACUUUUUAAAUAAUUUGAAGCAAAUGGGUCAAAUUAAAAUAGAAAGAUGUGUAAACCUUAAAUUAGUAUCAAAUGUAGAGCUAGUAGGGUAUGCCGAUGCAUCUCUUAAAGCUUUCGGGAGCUGUCUCUACCUAAGAGUUUUUAUGACUGACGGUUCGGUUCAAGUGAACUUAUUAUGUUCCAAAUCCCGAGUGUCCCCACUUUCGAAAUCUCACACCAUACCUCAAUUGGAGCUUUCUGCUGCUCUACUUUUAGCGCAAUUGGCAAGUAGGGUCAGUAAGAUUUUAUAUGAUAGACUUCCUCAUAAAAUAUUUCUUUAUAGUGAUUCACAAAUUGUAUUGUGGUGGAUCAAGACAGCGGCAGUUAAAAGUACCGUAUACGUAAAAAAUAGAGUCAAACAAAUUGUAAAGCUGACUGAAAACUCGCAAUGGCUGUACGUUAGGUCAAAAGAUAAUCCUGCUGACUUAUUAUCAAGGGGAGUUGAACCAAAUAAGCUGCAGGAGUGUGAUUUAUGGUGGCAUGGUUCGCCAAGUCUUUGUGAUGUAAAUUAUACACAUACUAACUUAGAAGAGUUUAAUUAUGACGAUAUCAUGACACAUGUAGAGUCGCAUAGUGCUUCAUUGGAUGCGUCUUCUGACGAUGUAGAGGGAAUUUUGUGCCAUACCACAAAUGUAGAGCCUCUAGAUUUAUUAAGAAAUUAUUCUAACAUUAGUAAACUUCAAAAAGUGAUAGGUUUUAUUUAUAGAUUUUACAAUAACUGCUUGUACAAAGACAACAAAAUAACAAGUAGUAAUUUAACUGCAAGGGAAUUGCGUGACUCUAUGACGAAGAUUGUACGUUGUACACAGGCAGAGCAUUUUAGUAAAGAAUUAGUCCUGCUCUCAAAAAAUAAGCCUGUCACAAUUAGUGAUCAAUUAGCAUUUCUAGAUAAAAAUGGUGUUAUUAGGGCCGUGGGGAGACUGCAAAAUGCAGAGAACCUGUCUUAUGACAAGCGGCAUCCGUCUAUACUUCCAAAAAACUCCUUUAUCACCGAUCUCAUUAUAGAACGAGAGCACUUAAGACUUAUGCAUGCAGGCGCUAGGCUAGUAUUAGGCUCUCUAUCUCAGAGACAUCAUCUUGUGAAUGGUAUACGAGAGGUAAAAAAGGUGGUGCAUAAAUGUAUAAAAUGUAUACGUAUGAAAGCUGAAGCAGCAAAGCAGUUGAUGGGAGAUCUGCCUAAAGAAAGAAUCACUCAGAGCAGGCCCUUUCAGCAUGUAGGAAUUGAUUUCUGCGGUCCGUUUAACGUAAAGGUCUCUCGCAUUAGGAAGCCUAUUAUUACAAAAGGCUACAUUGCGCUUUUUGUUUGCUUUGCUGUAAAAGCGAUACACUUAGAACUUGUUUCUGAUCUCACGACUGAAACCUUCUUAGCAUGUCUUAAACGAUUUAUUUCUCGGCGUGGCAUGCCCACAAACAUAUUUUGUGACAACGCAAAAACCUUUAAGGGUGCUUGUAAUACAUUAAAAGACUUGUAUGACCUAUUUUCCUCCAAAGAUUGUAGAGACUCUGUUAACAAAUACUGCUCAGAUAACUAUAUAACGUUUAAUUGGAUACCGAGUUAUUCUCCAACGUUUGGAGGAAUUUGGGAAAGUGGCGUCAAAAGUGUAAAACACCACUUUAAAAGAAUAGUAGGCAAUCUAUGUUUGACCUACGAACAACUUAACACUGUAAUCAUAGAGAUAGAAGGAAUUUUGAACAGUAGACCUAUACUAUCUGCUAUUUCUAAUGAUUGUGAUUAUAUAACUCCUGGACACUUCAUUUGUGGCGCAGUCUUGACUGCUUAUCCUGAAAUUGAUCUCACUGAAACCUCUGUAAAUCAGGUUCCAUUUUGGAAAAUGUGCACUAAGCUUAAGCAAGACUUUUGGAAAACCUGGUCUCAAAGUUAUUUGACCCAGCUUCAAAGCCGCCCAAAAUGGAAAUACCAGCAAACUAAUUUAAAGGAAGGUGACCUGGUAAUUGUUAAAGAUAUGAACACCUCUCCAUUAAAUUGGCCCAUGGCUCGUAUUGUAAAAACGUUCCCUGGUAGGGACGGAUUAGUAAGGGUAGCUGAUGUUAAAAUAAAUAAUAAGAUAUUUCGUAGAGCCAUAACAAAGUUAUGUCCUUUACCUGUAAUGUAGUAUUAAUAACUUGUCUAGUGUUUAGGUUCCUAUUGGCGGGUCCACUCUUUACCUGUAUGUAAUAUUGCCUGGCCCCAACUAUGUUUAAUACAAAACAUAUAGAGUGUAAACUUAGCUUAAGUAUUUUUUUAUAUAGCAAUACAUUUUGUAGUUGCCUUAAAAUUUGUAUCUGGCAACUCUCUCUCUUCCUUCUCGAUCCGAACUAACCGGCACGUCCCGCGAUCACUUUGUAAUUUUAUUUAAUUCA